AUUCACAGUAUAAAUGCAACCACUACACGUUACAAAACAGUCGCACUAAUUUUAACAAUUAAGUUUUAGGUUGAUAACAUUACGGCACUUGUGAAUAGACA